UGAACUUGAGCAAAAAAUAGUAAAUAAUUACACAGGUCUCUGUUACUCAACACAGAAAUUAAAUAAUUAUUCCACUGUGCUACAGGUUGCUUUAAAACUUAGAUUAAAUAGAUACUUGGUCUAAUCAAUGUGCACACAUGCUUUCCAACACUCCAAAUUGUGCUUCUCCCCACCUUGUAAUUUUAAUACAAGAAUUGUUUUGUUUUAGUCAUCACAUAGGUUCUUCAUUCCAAGCAUCACAGAAGUUCUGUAUUAAAAAAAAAAAUCCCAAAGCAAAGCCUAAUAUCAUAAUAAAUCGUAAUUGUUGUGAUUUUUACAAUUAGUUGAAUGCAAUUCAACUAAAAUGAGAAACUACUACUUUCACGAGCACGUGGCAGUGAAGAAUAAUUUCAACUUUCAACGUAAAAAGGCAACUCCAAAGAUUCAGAGCUUAAGUUCUACACCUACCUGCUACCGAUCGAGUACACUUUUUUCUGAUCCUCAACUGUUUUUGCUUUUUCAUCCAUCACAGAAGACAAACCAGCAAUAAGAGAACGCAAAAAUCAACCCCAAGACAACUGUGACCGCCCAAUGAAUCCUGACCAUGCUUCAUGCACAUGUGGAGAAAAAGCUACAGACUCAAAGGAGCUCUGCCAUGGCUAACAUUGUGACAGCCUCUGCACUCAUUUCACCACGAGGCCCAGGCGGGGCCACCAAUAUGAAAUACUGAGAGGAGGGGUGACGGGACAGAGGACGAGCCUCAGGAUUUCCUGCAAUAACAGGUCUUCGUUCGGAAUUCCCGCUUCUGCUUGCUACAGUGUAACAAAAUGUCUCUUCCCAAAAGCUUCCUUCACUCCAAGUUUAUAGUUUUUAACAGUUAAGGGGAUGGGGGGGGGGGCAAUAAAGUACAUGUGGCACCUGGAACAGCAGCUUGCUCCACAGUAUGAUAGCGUAGGACACAGAACUAGCUCAGGUGCAAACUCCGACCCCCCCAGCUUUUCAGUGGGGUACUCCGCGCCAUCGUGGGACAAGAUGGCAGGACAGAAGCCAACCGCACCUCAAAGCAGCCUCGGGAGAGCUCCGUGCAGCAAGCAGCUGUGGACCCCACACUUCCCCGUAACUACAAAAGCUUCAGCAAGUGGCUAGCUUCCCCGAACCUCGGUCCACGCGCUCGCCCGCCGACGAAUCCGGCGGGAAGGCAACAGCCUCCCAGGAUCGCGAACACGCUCGAGGAGCAGCUUAUCUCCAGAGCACGCUCCUCCGCUCAGAAACUGAAGCGGGAAGGGGAUGGCUCCAGGAUCCUUGCAGGUGGUUUGAACUUGGGGCUACCACGCUCCCAGCACCUUAGCGGGACCUGGCUUUUGUCGUGUGGAGGAAACGUGAGGAAAUCGGCGGCAAAGUCUCCCACGGACCCUCAGAACUCCAGAAGCAGGAACUUGUGGCCCCAGCAAACUGACGGAGACGUUAGAGAAGAUAGAGAAAGGAUGGAAGUUGAUAUGGGCUCCUGGAAUUUCAGGUCUGCUUAGCAAGAGCUGAAGAGAAAGUUGACUGGCCCAUAAAAGAAAAAUGAUUCAGAAAGUCCCGAGCAAGUGAAACCCGGAAACGUGCUACACUUGUGUCUGGCAGCCUCAUGCCCUGGAGCCACAAAACACAGAGCCUCCAUUCAGUAGGUGAAGAGAACUCUGAAGAGAUGUCACCUCAUUUCUCCCCAGCUCUUGCUCACUCAAAAAGGACAUGGGAUAUCUGAAAGCAGAAGCAGGAAGACUAUUCUCAGGUGUGCUGGGGAAUGGGUGUGCUGGAUGAAGCUGGAGGCUGGAAAGAAUGGUCUCCCAUGUUCUUCAGGUCUUCUCAUUGUUCUUUAUGGUCAAUGUGAGGGAUAUGGGACAUUUAGAUUCUUUGAAGUUUCCAUGAGAAUAUUUGACUGAAAUAGGGGAAAGAAGAUAGGGACAAGAGUAAAAUACAUCUCACUGUGGAUAUGAAGAAAGGGUGUGGUAACCAUUCUCAAAAUGGCCUCCAGUAAUCCUUGUCUUCUAGUGUUUUUAUCUUGCAUGGCGUCUCUCCCUGCAUUGAAUCCCUUUUUGUCUGUAUGACCAAUAAAAUAUGGCAAAAAUGACAGUGUGUGGCUUUCUAGACCAGGUCAUGGCUUCCACCUUGGCUCUAGGAGAAGCCAGCCACCAUGUUAUGAAGGACGCUGAAGCAGCCAUGUGGAAGAGCCUAUAGGGGGAGGAACUGAGGCCUUCUGCCAAAGCCAGCACCCACUUGUCAGCCAAGUGAGUGAACCACCUUGAAAGCAUAUUUUCCAGUCCCAGUAGAGCCCUUGGCUAACUGCAGCCCCAGUUAAUAUCUUGACCACAACCUCAUAAGAGAUCCUGAGCCAGACUGCCUGAACUCUUCCUUACCUAUAGAAACUGAUAGAGGGGCACCUCGGUGGCUCAGUUGGUUAAGUGUCCAACUCUUGAUCUCAGGUCAAGUCUUGAUCUCAGGGUUGUGAGUUCAAGUUCCAUGUUGGGCUCCAGCAUGGAGCCUACUUAAAAAAAAAAUAAAGAAAGAAACUGUGAUAUAUAUUGAUGAUUUCAAGGUAAUUAAUAACACAUCAAUUGAUAACCCAUGCAAAGAGCAAGUCUGAUUAUGUGAAGGGCCCUCUAGCAUAAGCCCUGUUGGUUGGGCACCUUCAUGCACCAUGUCCUUGGGAAGCCAGAGGAUUGGCAAACUAGGGCCCAUGGGUCAAAUCCAGCCAUCCAAAGGCCAAAUUUGCCCACAUCACUUGUCUCCAUAUUGUCUAUGGCUGGUUUCUUGCUACAGUGACUGAAGUGAGUAGUUGUGAUACACUGGAUGGCUCACAAUGCUGAAAAUAUUUACUGUUUAGCCCUUUAUAGAAAAAACUUGCCAACUCCUGUUCUAUAGGAACUUGCAGUAUGAUGGUGAAAUGUCUUUCGCACACACAUACAGAUACACACACCCACUCCAAACAAGAUCCUGAAGUACACACAUGUUAUUUCAUCUGCCUGGUAAGCCCUCUGUACUUUCUUCAUCUGGCUAACUCCUACUCAUCCUUCAAAACUCAGUUUAGAUGCCACCUUCUUGAAUCCAACCUUUACUUGUGAAAUCCCUCUCCUUCUUUGAGGUUGGCUUAUGUAUCACCUCCUUCCCUUGUUCCCCCAAGCCAAAUGAAUUCUAACAGCAGUGUUUCCAUAUCUCUUUUAGAAUUCUAAUCAAUCACAUGAUGAGGAAUUGUUUAGUGUCUUCUCCCCCACUGGACUAUAAGCUCUUCAAGGACAAGGAUUGUGUAUUAUUCAUUUUAUAACCUCAGAGAAAUAUACCUUUACUUAUUUAUUCAUCACAAAUACUUAUCGGAUGCUUACUAUUUGUCAGAUAAUUUGCUUACACGGGGAUUCACGGAGAAAAAGACUGAGUUCUUGCUCUCAGGUUGCUCUAGGAUGGGAGUGGGAAAGCAAACUGGCAUUAGGCUAUGAUGUGGUAAAGGUGUGUGCAAACUUCAUUGUGAGUAUAUUUGUUGUAGCCAUAUAAACACCUGCAAAAAGAAAUUGUUUUUCAACACUUUCCUAGCAUUUCACCAUAGUCGGACACCGUACUAAGUACUUAAGUACAUUACAAUUUAUUUAAUCUUUAUACAACAUGAAGCAAGUACUACAAUGUUCCCUUGUACAGGAUAUAGAGAAUAAGAGACGUCAAGUAACUUAUCCAGGGUCACAGAGCUAAAAAAAAAUGUCAAAUGAAUUUUGGAGCAAUUAUUUAGCUGAAUAAUCAAUUCUAAAUCUCAAAAACAACUUAAGUAGGAGAAAUUGGGAUAAUGCUGUCCUUCUCCUUAGAACACUAAGUGGAUGGUUUCUGUCAAGCUGGAAUUUCCAGCUCCAGAGGCUUUCUGAUGACUUACACUAUGCUUGGCAUUUUAUUUCUAGGAAUUGCCUUCUGGGAGAUUCUGCUGUUUUAAUGAUUGUGCAAGCCUGGUUUCCUCACUGAAUUGCACCAUUUGCCACUUUGAAGUCCUCCCUAGUUGUUAGUUUGACUUUCUUAGGACCCCGUGGGGGAAGAACACAUUCAACAGUGCCCAACUCUGUUCUUUCCUUGCUAAAGUCAAUAGGAAUAUGGAUUGCCUACAGCUGGGAUGUGAGAUGGGGCUCCAGUUCCUCCUCUCUGCCAUCACUUAUCUCCAGCUGUGAUCUCAGUUGUGGAUUAAUUGGUUCAAACCUUGGGUGUCAUUCAGUGAACUGGUUCAGAGAUCCUGCAUGCAGUGGCUACUGGUCUGGGCUCUAGCUUAAAGAAAACCAUUUCCCCGUGUAGUAUGAAUCACUUA